rnacentral:rRNA from 1 species
CGGCGUGCUUAACACAUGCAAGUCGAACGAAGCACCUUAUUCUGAUUUCUUCGGAAUGAAAAAUUUGGUGACUGAGUGGCGGACGGGUGAGUAACGCGUGGGUAACCUGCCUCAUACGGGGGGAUAACAGUUAGAAAUGACUGCUAAUACCGCAUAAGACCACAGCACCGCAUGGUGCAGGGGUAAAAACUCCGGUGGUAUGAGAUGGACCCGCGUCUGAUUAGGUAGUUGGUGGGGUAACGGCCUACCAAGCCGACGAUCAGUAGCCGACCUGAGAGGGUGACCGGCCACAUUGGGACUGAGACACGGCCCAAACUCCUACGGGAGGCAGCAGUGGGGAAUAUUGCACAAUGGGGGAAACCCUGGUGCAGCGACGCCGCGUGAGCGAUGAAGUAUUUCGGUAUGUAAAGCUCUAUCAGCAGGGAAGAAAAUGACGGUACCUGACUAAGAAGCACCGGCUAAAUACGUGCCAGCAGCCGCGGUAAUACGUAUGGUGCAAGCGUUAUCCGGAUUUACUGGGUGUAAAGGGAGCGUAGAC